rnacentral:rRNA from 1 species
GACGAACGCUGGCGGCGUGCUUAACACAUGCAAGUCGAACGGUAAGGCCCUUCGGGGUACACGAGUGGCGAACGGGUGAGUAACACGUGGGUGAUCUGCCCUGCACUUCGGGAUAAGCCUGGGAAACUGGGUCUAAUACCGGAUAGGACCCUGGGAUGCAUGUCCUGGGGUGGAAAGCUUUUGCGGUGUGGGAUGGGCCCGCGGCCUAUCAGCUUGUUGGUGGGGUGAUGGCCUACCAAGGCGACGACGGGUAGCCGGCCUGAGAGGGUGACCGGCCACACUGGGACUGGGAUACGGCCCAGACUCCUACGGGAGGGAGCAGGGGGGAAUAUUGCACAAUGGGCGCAAGCCUGAUGCAGCGACGCCGCGUGAGGGAUGACGGCCUUCGGGUUGUAAACCUCUUUCAGCACCGACGAAGCGCAAGUGACGGUAGGUGCAGAAGAAGGACCGGCCAACUACGUGCCAGCCGCCGCAGUAA